rnacentral:lncRNA from 1 species
AAUAUAUAAAAAAUACUUAAAAAUCAAAAAUUAUUAUUAAAAAAAAAAGAAUUAAAAAAAUAAUGAUAAAAAGUUCAAUUUUGAAAAAUUAUAAUUCGAAAUCAUUAAAAAAUAUUUUUUUAUUUUUUAAAAUGUUUAUUUAUUAUAUAUAUAGAAAACAAAAGUAUAAGAGUAUUUUGUAAGAAAAUAUUGAGAAUUUACAAAAACUAACCCAUAACUUGAUUUUAACCCCAAACAUAUACCCAAACUUGAAUCAAAUGCAAAACUAACCUAAAAGCCUUGUGACCAAACAAAAAAACAGAAGCCAUUUUUAC